rnacentral:rRNA from 1 species
GUGGGGAAUAUUGGGCAAUGGGCGAAAGCCUGACCCAGCGACGCCGCGUGAGGGAAGAAGGUCUUCGGAUUGUAAACCUCUUUCAGCAGGGAAGAAGGAAGUGACGGUACCUGCAGAAGAAGCCACGGCUAACUACGUGCCAGCAGCCGCGGUAAUACGUAGGUGGCAAGCGUUAUCCGGAAUUAUUGGGUGUAAAGGGUGUGUAGGCGGGACUUUAAGUCAGACGUGAAAAUCAAGGGCUCAACCCUUGACCUGCGUUUGAAACUGGAGUUCUUGAGAGUGGGAGAGGUAAACGGAAUUCCUGGUGUAGCGGUGAAAUGCGUAGAUAUCAGGAGGAACACCGGUGGCGAAGGCGGUUUACUGGACCACAACUGACGCUGAGACACGAAAGCGUGGGGAGCAAACAGG